CGAAUACGACGCUCUCGGCAGCUGCGCCGCCGGGUCGCUAUCGUUCUGUCGACUAGCAGUACGUCCGCCAAAGACUGUUUAUCUGGUCUAGCGUGCUGGAUUUAACUGUGCUUCCUGUCGCUGAUGCAUUCGUUUGUCUUGCCAAGAUUAAUAUCGCUGACCACUUCAAAAGUAGAUAUGGAAAAUUAUCAAAUAUGUAUUGAAAUAGGUUAAAGUAAAAAUAGCUAAAUUAAAAUAUGUACGAGGGCAGUCUGAAAAGUUCUCGGCCUGACACAUAGAUGGCAUUAGAAACUGUCAAACUAUAAUUGUAUUGGAAAAUGGCAUCCCUGAUAUAAACCCAUGUAAAAUUUUAUUUCGAUCUGUCAAGUCAUUCGAGCACCAGGUAGUAGCACCAGUUUCAUUGUCUUUUUUAAAAUGGAAAGAAUUGAAUAUCGUGCAGUGAUUAAAUUGUUUUGGAUGGUUAAAUUUGUUUUGGAUGGUUUAACACCAACAGAAAUUCAUCCGAAAUUGUUAAAAGUGUAUAAGGAUGCAUCACCUUCAAUUUCCACUGUGAAAAAGUGGGCUGCUCUUUUUAAAUCUGGUCGUACAAGCCUCGAAGAUGAUUCACGCGAAGGUUGU